CUAAGUUUAUUCCACACAAUGCCUUCUCUGUUCAAAGAGGCAAAAACAUCUCCAAGCUGGAGAAAUGACAAACACAGUCACUGAGUCAUUUUUAUACUACGUCCAAAUCCAGAACCCAUCUGACUCUCUCGGUCGCAUUUAAAGCUACAUCGACAACCUAUUUUUUCCCCCUUAGACUAUUACUUUCCAGCGAGAAAAACGGCUCAGAAACACAUGGGAUGCAGCUCAAGUCUGCUUCUGUCCCCCUCCGAGCUCCAUGCACUUGGCCCUACUCUCCCCUGCAGACAGACGAUUGUCAUUGGUUUUCAUGCCUGUGCCUCUCUCUCCAACAGCACAGAACCGCAGACAGCAACAUCAGCCGGCCCAGCCCCAGAGUCCAACUCAACCAUGCUAGAACGGUGGACCCAAGAGGUCCUGAAAGCAGGGCCCAUGUUCUUCUGCUAAUGCAAUGACAGAGCUCAACGGGCCACAGGACAGGUACCAACUAUGGAUCGUUUGACAACACUUCAGUAAAGCACAAACUGGAGGGACAAAUCUGUUUAAGAACCUGACCCCCAAAAGCCAGGCAGGAGGAGAAGAUCUUAUCUCCUUGAGAAAUAAUCAGGAAGUAUCAGCUACACAUCUGGUGACUUUACUAGCUCCAAACCAAGUGACCCAACUUUGAGCAAGAUCUCUGGACUCAGUCUACAUCUUUUCAUCUAGCAAUUAUUGUAUGCUACUAUUUAUUCUUUAUAAUGCAUUAAUGCCCCUCCUACCCAAGUCAACUGAAAGUCAUCUGCAGUGUGUCAUCGAUCCAGGAUCCAUGAGGAUGCAUAUUCGAGUCUCCCUAUAAAGGGCCCCAUACUUCUGCUCGAUGACAGUUUAAUGUUUGCCCGUGACGCAGUGACCUGGAGUCACGUUUCUUCCUUUGUGGAUGACUGACUGCUUUCUGGUAGAGCCGAGUCUAACCUGAGACAGAUUUAAGACUUCCAAGCACACGUGCCGUGUUCCAUCUCAUCUGUAAUGCCAUCGGAGUUUUCUGUCACCAUAGUUUCAUCGCAACAUCUCUUAUUGUAGGGGAAGAAAACAGUGUAUGGACACUUAACAGUAUCUGACACUUGAGAAGUUGUCAGCAACCAAAGGCGAACGCUACCGAAGCAGCGGCAUCCAUCCGGUUUCCGACCCUUCUUUGGGCAGUGUGCAAGAUGAGCCAGUUUUGGACCUUGCUGUCAGACAUGUGGCAGUCUUAGCUCCUGUCCUUCUUACCUGCUUCGACUUUCUGGACCUGAGUUUUUCUCUUCCAUAUAAUUAAGAUAAUACUAAUCAUCUAAUGGAGUUCCUGUGGGAGUGAAUAGUGAUUGUGAAAAAUAAGUGUCUGGAACAUCCGAAGUACUAGUAGGUUGGACAUGA